UCGCCUGUUUAUCAAAAACAUCGCCUCUUGCUAACUAAGAAGUAUUAGAGGUCCCGCCUGCCCUGUGACACGCGUGUUUAACGGCCGCGGUAUUUUAACCGCGCGAAGGUAGCGUAAUCACUUGUCUUUUAAAUGGAGACCUGUAUGAAUGGCAUAACGAGGGUUUAACUGUCUCCUCUCCCCAGUCAAUGAAAUUGAUCCACCCGUGCAGAAGCGGGUAUAUUAACAUAAGACGAGAAGACCCUAUGGAGCUUUAGGCAAACAAUCAAGCGCGCCCAGCCCCUACUAACGAAGAGCAAGAAGGGAUAAAACAAGCGCCCCUGAAGGAGAUGCCUUCGGUUGGGGCGACCGUGGAGGAAAAUAAAGCCUCCAAGCAGAAUAGGGACCCACCCUAAGCCAAGAAACACAUUUCUAAGCAACAGAAAAGCUGACUGUAAGUGACCCAGGAAAUACCUGAUCAACGAACCAAGUUACCCUAGGGAUAACAGCGCAAUCCUUUCCCAGAGUCCAUAUCGACGAAAGGGCUUACGACCUCGAUGUUGGAUCAGGACAUCCUAAUGGUGCAGCCGCUAUUAAGGGUUCGUUUGUUCAACGAUUAAUAGUCCUACGUGAUCUGAGUUCAGACCGG
rnacentral:rRNA from 1 species